CAACCGCUGAUCUCGCCGCUCCAGCGGCGUUAGCAGGAUGGUGUACACGGGCUUCAGAAACAUGUGGCUGUCUAGGCUCCGGAUGUGGUCGACGCCGAUGAGGACUCGAACAAUCUGUAGAGCCGCAGUGCCGCACCAGGUAUAGCUACUCUCCCUCUUCAGUCAACAGCAAGACCAUUCUGUUUAUGGAGGUUGCAACUCACACAGAUUUGUGGGUUCGGAAAAAUAAUUCUGUUGCCGGCCAUGUUCUCCAUUAAUUCUCAUCCUUGUCGUCAAAAUUGUGUCUUCCAUGUUCUCCAUUGACGCAUGGAGAAACUGAGCUGUGUGAGAUGGGGUGCCGGGACAUUACUACUGAUUACUAACCAGGCAAUAAACUGGUAGAUGAUCAGGGAAAAGAACGGAGUCGUCGGAUGAGGAAGAAGACCCCAGACCCAGGAUGCUUUGUGAUUCAUGUUGACAUGUAGUAUUCCUUUGAUAGAGAAAAAAACGAGGCCUCAUCGAUUUUUCCCGGUUUGUGGAGGUGAUGGCACCAGUAUUUACCAGGGAUGUAUGGAGAUGUGUUGGCAUAUCAUCCAGUACAUAAAUUGAAUGAGUCGGUUUUCUGGGUCCAUUUCCUGGUACCUGAGAAUUUAGACUGCCUCUUUUCUUGUCUGUAAGCUGAUACUUCUUCACGUAGCUAGACUCUCCUCCCAACAUUUGCACUCACAUGUGAUUUUUUUUGUGUCUCCCCUCAAAUUUUAUCCAGGAAAUUUAGUAAUAGGGUCCUUGAUAUAGAUACAUCAAAGGAAGCACAGAAGGUAAAUGGUUUUACCUGUUGCUGGCAUCAGAGGAGCAGCUACAAAUGGCAACCAUAUGGAUUUGUUAUUGUCGAUUGAAAGCACACAGGUAAUUGAGCUGUGUUAGUUUCACCUAUUCUCUAAUUUACUUGCAGUAUGAAAUUCUUCACUAAUUUUCUCUUUCUCAAGAUAAGCUUCUCCAUCACACUAUUUUCUUGUUCUUAAUACUCAGUAUGAUUUUGAAGAAGGAACUCAAUGGAGCAAAUGGAAGAAAGAAAGGAGCCAUAACGAGAUGUUGAGAACAAGACAUAGUCUUCGGAUUAACUAAUAUUUGAAAAUCAGCAUGCUUUUGAUGAUUGCCGUGGAUUAAACAAGUAUAUAUUUAUUUUGAUUAUUGAUAUAGCACAACUUAGUCGAGUGGACCGAACAACACUGGAUUCGAGAGGUCAUUUAAUAGGAAAAUUGGCACUAC
rnacentral:lncRNA from 1 species